rnacentral:rRNA from 1 species
UAAAGUUGUUGAUCCCAUGCUUCCAAGAAAAGCCUCUAAGCUUCAGACAGCAGUGUGACCGUACCGUAAACCGACUCAGGUGGGUGAGGAGAAAAUCCUAAGGUGAUUGAGAGAACACUGGUUAAGGAACUCGGCAAAAUGACACCGUAACUUCGGGAGAAGGUGUGCCCUCAUUAAGUGUAGCGAUUUGCACGUGAAGCUGAAGAGGGUCGCAGAAAAAUGGCGGUAGCGACUGUUUACUAAAAACACAGGACUCUGCUAAGUCGUAAGACGAUGUAUAGGGUCUGACGCCUGCCCGGUGCUGGAAGGUUAAGGGGAUUUGUUAGCGCAAGCGAAGCUUUGAACCGAAGCCCCAGUAAACGGCGGCCGUAACAAUAACGGUCCUAAGGUAGCGAAAUUCCUUGUCGGGUAAGUUCCGACCUGCACGAAUGGCGUAACGAUUUCCGCGCUGUCUCAACCAGUGGCUCAGCGAAAUUGAAUUCUCGGUGAAGAUGCCGAGUACCCGCGGUAAGGCGGAAAGACCCCGUGAACCUUUACUAUAGCUUGACAGUGACAUUCGGAAUAGCUUGUGUAGGAUAGGUGGGAGACUAUGAAGCUGGUACGCUAGUAUCGGUGGAGUCGUCCUUGAAAUACCACCCUGGUUGUUUUGGAUGUCUAACCUAGGCCCGUAAUCCGGGUCGGGGACACUGUCUGGUGGGUAGUUUGACUGGGGCGGUCGCCUCCCAAAGAGUAACGGAGGCGCGCGAUGGUUCCCUCAGCCCGAUUGGAAACCGGGCGUAGAGUGUAAUGGCAUAAGGGAGCUUGACUGCGAGACCAACAAGUCGAGCAGGUACGAAAGUAGGUCAUAGUGAUCCGGCGGUUCUGUAUGGAAGGGCCGUCGCUCAACGGAUAAAAGGUACUCCGGGGAUAACAGGCUGAUCUCCCCCAAGAGUUCACAUCGACGGGGAGGUUUGGCACCUCGAUGUCGGCUCAUCGCAUCCUGGGGCUGAAGUAGGUCCCAAGGGUUUGGCUGUUCGCCAAUUAAAGCGGUACGCGAGCUGGGUUUAAAACGUCGUGAGACAGUUUGGUCCCUAUCUACCGUGGGCGCAGGAUAUUUGAGAAGAGCUGUCCUUAGUACGAGAGGACCGGGAUGGACGUACCGCUAGUGUUCCAGUUGUGCCGCCAGGCGCAGUCGCUGGGUAGCCACGUACGGAAAGGAUAACCGCUGAAAGCAUCUAAGCGGGAAGCCUCCUUCAAGAUUAGAUAUCCCUGGGUGUAACAACCCCUAAAGGCCCGUUGUAGACCACAACGUUGAUAGGCUGGGUGUGUAAUCACAGCAAUGUGUUUAGCUUACCAGUACUAAUCGGCCGUGAGGCUUGACC